CCUACGGGAGGCAGCAGUGGGGAAUAUUGCACAAUGGGGGGAACCCUGAUGCAGCGACGCCGCGUGAGUGAAGAAGUAUUUCGGUAUGUAAAGCUCUGUCAGCAGGGAAGAAGAAAGACGGUACCUGACCAAGAAGCCCCGGCUAACUACGUGCAAGCAGCCGCGGUAAUACGUAGGGGGCAAGCGUUAUCCGGAUUUACUGGGUGUAAAGGGAGCGGAGACGGCAGGGCAAGUCUGGAGUGAAAGGCAGGGGCCCAACCCCUGAACUGCUAUUGAAACUGUUGGUCUUGAGUAUCGGAGAGGCAGGCGGAAUUCCUGGUGUAGCGGUGAAAUGCGUAGAUAUUAGGAGGAACACCGGUGGCGAAGGCAGCCUGCUGGACGGCAACUGACGGUGAGGCGCGAAAGCGUGGGGAGCAAACAGGAUUAGAUACCCCAGUAGUC
rnacentral:rRNA from 1 species